rnacentral:rRNA from 1 species
AAACGAUUGAAGUCAGUCGUGUCCGAGGGGUUCAGCCGGUCAUGCCGGUGUAUUCCCCUCGGAUGGGUCAACGUCAGUUUGGACCGGUGGAAAAGGGCGGUAGGAAGGUGGCAGCUCCGGCUGUGUUAUAGCCUGCCGUCGCACACGCCGGUCUAGACUGAGGCAUGCAGCUCGCCCUCGUGGCUGGGGUUUUCCCACAUUCGAGCUUAGGAUGUUGACAUAAUGGCUUUAAACGA